AACGUAGGUGGCAAGCGUUAUCCGGAUUUACUGGGCGUAAAGCGUGUGCAGGCGGAUGGCCAAGUGGUGUAUGAAAUCGCCCGGCUUAACCGGGCGGGGUUAUGCCAGACUGGUCGUCUGGAGUACGGGAGAGGGGCGUGGAAUUCCGGGUGUAGUGGUGAAAUGCGUAGAGAUCCGGAGGAACCCCAGCGGCGAAGGCGGCGCCCUGGCCCGUAACUGACGCUCAGACACGACAGCAUGGGGAGCGAAC
rnacentral:rRNA from 1 species